CGUUGGUGGGGUCUAGGCUGCUGGACGCACCAAGCAUUUUUACAGCAGAAGUCCUGAAAGCAGAAAAAGGCUGUUUCUCUCCCCUUCGUCACCAGUGACUUGCUCUGUGCAGGGCUGGAAGAGACUGAGUAGAGAAGUGAAGAGAAAAACGAAAGUGGUAAAAACGGAGGAGGACAAGGGCGAUCUUUACAUUCUCAAAGAGUUUUCAUUUUCAUCCUCUCAUUUACUGAUAAAAACAACCCUGUAAAGGGGGCCAGGUGUCUUAACUUAAUCUGUCUGACUUAUUUUGCCAAAGGAAAAGAAUCCCAAAGGCCUCAAAUUGUGAAUGCAGUGAACGGAAGAGAGGUUACUUUUCCUGCUCUGGGCAAUGCCGUGGUUGGAAAGAGCCAGAACUACGGUUUGGAAAGGCUUUCAUCCAAGCCUAGACAAUGCACGUUCUCAAGAUGGAAAAGUUCCUCAUUUGUGCAAUGCGCUAACAUUACCCGGCACUACGGCCAUGAGGAGAAGACAGAAAGUGUGACACUGGACCUGCAGAAUAAGCGGGUGACACAGCACUCCAUGAUGCCCCUGCAUCAAGAGAAGAAGGUGACAGCCAGC
rnacentral:lncRNA from 1 species